rnacentral:rRNA from 1 species
AGUGAACGCUGGCGGUAGGCCUAACACAUGCAAGUCGAACGGUAGCACAGUAAGAGCUUGCUCUUACGGGUGGCGAGUGGCGGACGGGUGAGGAAUACAUCGGACUCUACUUUUUCGUGGGGCUUAACGUAGGGAAACUUACGCUAAUACCGCAUACGACCUACGGGUGAAAGCAGGGGAUCUUCGCACCUUGCGCGAUUGAAUGAGCCGAUGUCGGGUUAGCUAGUUGGCGGGGUAAUGGCCCACCAAGGCGACGAUCCGUAGCUGGACUGAGAGAAUGGUAGGCGACACUGGAACUGGGACACGGUCCAGACUCCUGCGGGAGGCAGCAGUGGGGAAUAUUGGACAAUGGGCGCAAGCCUGAUCCAGCCAUACCACGUGGGUGAAGAAGGCCUUCGGGUUGUAAAGACCUUUUGUUGGGAAAGAAAAGCAGCAGGUUAAUACCCCGCUGUUCUGACGGUACCCAAAGAAUAAGCACCGGCUAACUUCGUG